rnacentral:rRNA from 1 species
UACGGAGGGUGCAAGCGUUACCCGGAUUCACUGGGUUUAAAGGGUGCGUAGGUGGGCAGGUAAGUCAGUGGUGAAAUCUCCGGGCUUAACCCGGAAACUGCCAUUGAUACUAUCUGUCUUGAAUACCGUGGAGGUGAGCGGAAUAUGUCAUGUAGCGGUGAAAUGCUUAGAUAUGACAUAGAACACCAAUUGCGAAGGCAGCUCACUACGGAUGUAUUGACACUGAGGCACGAAAGCGUGGGGAUCAAACAGG